rnacentral:rRNA from 1 species
AACGCUGGCGGCAGGCUUAACACAUGCAAGUCGAGCGGGGGAAGGUAGCUUGCUACUGGACCUAGCGGCGGACGGGUGAGUAAUGCUUAGGAAUCUGCCUAUUAGUGGGGGACAACAUCUCGAAAGGGAUGCUAAUACCGCAUACGUCCUACGGGAGAAAGCAGGGGAUCUUCGGACCUUGCGCUAAUAGAUGAGCCUAAGUCGGAUUAGCUAGUUGGUGGGGUAAAGGCCUACCAAGGCGACGAUCUGUAGCGGGUCUGAGAGGAUGAUCCGCCACACUGGGACUGAGACACGGCCCAGACUCCUACGGGAGGCAGCAGUGGGGAAUAUUGGACAAUGGGGGGAACCCUGAUCCAGCCAUGCCGCGUGUGUGAAGAAGGCCUUAUGGUUGUAAAGCACUUAAGCGAGGAGGAGGCUACUUUAGUAAUACCUAGAGAUAGUGGAC